GCCGGGGUAGUUCAGUGGUAGAACGUCAUCUUGGUAAGAUGAAGGUCGCGGGUCCGAUUCCCGCCUCCGGCUCCA
rnacentral:tRNA from 2 species